rnacentral:misc_RNA from 1 species
GAUGGUCGAGUUUAUGGAGAAGGUCUCCGCCGCUACAGACAACGAGGAGCUCACCGUCGAGGAGCGGAACCUUCUCUCUGUUGCUUACAAGAAUGUUAUUGGAGCGCGUAGAGCCUCCUGGAGGAUUAUUUCCUCCAUUGAACAGAAGGAGGAGAGCCGAGGGAAUGAUGAUCAUGUCUCCGUUAUCCGAGAAUACAGAUCCAAGAUCGAGACUGAGCUCUCCAACAUCUGUGAUGGGAUCCUUAAGCUUCUUGACUCCCGUCUCAUUUCCUCUGCUGCUUCUGGUGACUCCAAGGUGUUUUAUCUCAAGAUGAAGGGAGAUUAUCAUAGAUACCUUGCUGAAUUCAAGACCGGAGCCGAGCGGAAGGAAGCUGCCGAAAGUACUCUCACUGCUUAUAAAUCUGCACAGGAUAUUGCAAAU